GACGAACGCUGGCGGCGUGCCUAAUACAUGCAAGUAGAACGCACAGUUUAUACCGUAGCUUGCUACACCAUAGACUGUGAGUUGCGAACGGGUGAGUAACGCGUAGGUAACCUGCCUGGUAGCGGGGGAUAACUAUUGGAAACGAUAGCUAAUACCGCAUAAUAUUGAUUAUUGCAUGAUAAUUGAUUGAAAGAUGCUAUUGCAUCACUACCAGAUGGACCUGCGUUGUAUUAGCUAGUAGGUGAGGUAACGGCUCACCUAGGCGACGAUACAUAGCCGACCUGAGAGGGUGAUCGGCCACACUGGGACGGAGACACGGCCCAGACUCCUACGGAAGGCAGCAGUAGGGAAUCUUCGGCAAUGGACGAAAGUCUGACCGAGCAACGCCGCGUGAGUGAAGAAGGUUUUCGGAUCGUAAAGCUCUGUUGUAAGAGAAGAACGGGUGUGAGAGUGGAAAGUUCACACUGUGACGGUAUCUUACCAGAAAGGGACGGCUAACUACGUG
rnacentral:rRNA from 1 species